rnacentral:rRNA from 1 species
CCCUUAGAUGUUCUGGGCUGCACGCGCGCUACACUGAUACCUUCAGCGAGUCCACCACCUUGCCUGGGAGGGUGGGGUAACCUCUGGAAAGUGCAUCGUGAUGGGGAUCGAUUAUUGUAAUUAUUAAUCUUCAACGAGGAAUUCCUAGUAAGCAUGUGUCAUCAGCCCGCGCUGAUUACGUCCCUGCCCUUUGUACACACCGCCCGUCGCUCCUACCGAUGGGUGAUCCGGUGAAUGAUUCGGACUUCAGCGGCUCCCCUGGGGUGCGCCGGAGAAAGUUUUGUGAACCUUAUCACUUGGAGGAAGGAGAAGUCGUAACA